UGGCUGCUGGGAAAGAGGUGUCGUUGGGAUUUUUUUCUGAUAAUAACACUGGUCUCAACCCAGCUGACAUCCUCAUUUACAAUUGGGAGAAUGGCCAAGAUACUUGUUUUGACGUCACUGGAGUUUCACCUUUCUCGGGUGGCGGAAUUCACACAUUUACUUCCGGCCAUGCGAUUUCUGCAACAGUUGUUUGUAACGUAACAAAUAUCUAGAAAAGUGUACUUUUCAUGGGUAUCGCUUCAGCACCUUGGCAUUUUCAACUUUGGGAGAGCUUGGAGAAGACUUGAUUAUUCUGUUAAAGAGACUGAAGAACUUCUUAAAAAACUAUGGUAUUAGUAAUAAAGUAGGUGGUCCUGUUUUUCAUAGGAUAGGUUUGGCUAUUCAAAAGGGAAUUGGUGCACAUACUGUUGCCCGACUCCCACCCAUUCAUGUGUAAAUAACAUUAUUUGUUUUUCAAUAAAAUCUCGUGGCGGCAUCCUUUUUAUAAUAAUAAUAAUAAUAAUAAGGGUGUUGGUGCACAGAUUGUUUUUCUUUCUCUUCUUUUCGAUUGUUUGAAGAUUUAAUUGCUCGAAGAUUCAAUUAGUUGUUCCACCUCUCUAGUUCCAAUUAAGGUUUUGAAGACUUGAAUUCUCAUCCAUCGAUUGAGAUUAGGGUUCUUUUAGUUUUCUUUAUUAUUUUUUUCUUUUCUUCUCUUUUGUUUUGUUCUUCUCUUCUCUUUCGAGUUUCAAUAUACAAGUUAGAGCUUUUUCAGGGUGUGAUUCAUACAAAAGUAGUGAGUUUGUUAAAUCUAGGAAGUUUAAGUGUCGAUUUGGAUUGAGUUUGUUUUUGUUUGAUAGAGGUGUUUCAGUGAAAAUUAGGUUCAGGUUUUUCGAAAAGGUUGGCAGUUGUAUGAAAUUGAUGUUGAUUUAAUGGUGGGUUUUGUGUUUUGAUUUCAAGGGUGAGAUUUAAUUAAUCUAAUUCUCAAUCCUCAAGUGUAUUGGGAUAAUUGGGGUUUUUGAAGGUUAUGAUUUAAGCUUUUGUUGGGGCUGAGGCUUGUUAUUACCGUGGCUAAUUCAAAUUAAGUGAAUCAAUCUUCAAAAUACAGUUUUGCAGAAUUGAAAGUAUGGGAUUUUGUGGUUUUUUGUGGGAUUGAGGAACCAGAAUCAGGGGUGUGAAUUGUUUGAAUUUGGGGGACUCUGUAGUGGGGUUUUGUUGUUUGUUGUUGCAGCUGGUUUCUUCUGGGUGUGGUUGAACACUGUUUAAGUGUUUCUCUGUGUGUGUGAUUGGUUGUAGCAGGAGGUAUAUUCAAGAGUUGUGUGUGUGCAGAAGCAGUUACAUGGUGUUUUUGUUCACAAGGCCUUAUCCUUCUCUUCUUGGUUGUUUAAUUUGUGUUUCAAUGAAUGGUAUUUUAAGGGUUCAAUUGAAUUUUUUUAUCUAAUUUAAACUCUUAAUUUCUCAUUCCUUGAGUCCUAAUUGUCUUCUUGUUCUCUCAUUGUGUUUGAUUUACGAAUUCAAUUGAUAUGUUCGCAAUCUUGUUGAGUUUCAGAGGUUGAUUGCUAGUUUCUCUGAAUUACUAUGCCAAGGGUUACUAGGUCUAGUCAGACACAAUGCUUGCGUUCCAUCCCUCAAGGUUGUGUUAAUCAAACUUCUAAUGAGUUUCAUCAGUGCAGCAGUGAUGCAUUUGUAGAUUCACCUAUGGGCUCGUCUUCCCCUUCUCAGUUCGCAACCACUCAAUCCUUAUAUGUUUCACAACGAGAUAAGAUCCAUUGUCCGUAUAAGAACUUCGAUGGCUGCACUGAUGCUAAGAGUGCUAUCUAUAGACAUUUAAAAGAUAAACUCUUUCCUGAUGAAGUUAGCAGAGAGGUUUGUCGAGAACGAAUUAAGAAUAAUUUUAACUGCUUUGUUACUUGGGAAAGGGCUUUGAAUGAUAUGCAGGGUUGGUUAUUCAUUAAAUGCUUACGAAUACAUACAUGGAGAAUGACUUGCAGGUCACAGAUUCAUCCUUCAGAAGACAUUGCUGGUACCUUCAAUGGUUUAGGCGCAGAUUUCCUCAUUCAUGGAGCUGAGAAACCACAAGUUGAGUCCCCUGCCACAGUUGAUACUGCUGAGACUAAUACUCCUGUGGUGGACGAUGUUGUUUCUGGUCUCACGGUGGAGUUGCUUAACAGUAUGCUGCAGAAACAGAUUACAACUACUAUAAGUAUCCCACCACCUAGCAGGCUGCAUUUAUCUCGUGCCCUGAAGUCGACUUUGGAUUAUGUGCUUGCAAACCCUAAGAACCUUGCUGCUUGGAUACAAUUGUUAUUGCUGCCUACCUGCACCUUGAAUUUGUAUGAACCAAAAAUCUCAAUGGAAGAACGAUCGGGCAAUAGGAGAAAGUUGCAGAUGGAUGCAAUAAAUAGGGCUUUGCUGUGUUGGAAAGAGCCUUCUGGUUUCUUUACAUUGGCUCAACAAUUUCUUAGCCUAUCUAAGAAAACUCCUAGAUAACAACAACCUGGUAAGAAAAGGAAAAAUACUAAGUUGUCAGCUUGCAGGAGGAAACUAAGUAACGGUCACUAUACUGCAACUAUCCGUAUCCUUUCCUCUAAUGGUUUAGAUCCACCAACUUCGGACACGCUGUUUGAGCUUCAACAAAAACACAUAUUUGCUCGGCCUCCAAUUAUACCAGCAGAAGAUAUUUCAGCUCCUGCUUUAUCUGUUAAUGCAAAAGAUGUCCUUUUGGCCCUUAAGAGUUUUCCCAAGGGUACUUCCUGUGGGAGGGACGGACUUAGGGCUCAACACUUGUUGGAUGCUAUGAGUGGAGUUGGUGCUGCGGUUGCUGAUGAAUUUCUUAAAUCUAUCACUAGUGUGGUGAAUCUUUGGCUUUCCGGGAAAUUCCCUCCCAUUCUUGGUAACCUUGUAGCAAGUGCUCCCUUAACCCCACUGCUCAAACCUGAUGGAGGGUUGCGACCAUUGCUGUAGGGAAUAUUUGGAGGAGUCUGUGUUCAAAAUUAGCUUCCACCUCGGUUUGUAAAUCUACGAAUUCUUAUCUGGGAAAAUACCAAUAUGGUUUUGGUACCCCGUGCAGUGGUGAAGCUAUUCUGCACUCGGCUAAUAGAUUGUUGGAGCUACAAGGUGUUGAUUCUUCCAAGACCAUGUUGCUUAUAGAUUUUUCCAACGCCUUCAACCUUGUUGACAGGUCCAACAUCAUUAAAGAGGUGAGAGCUCAUUGUCCCAGUAUCUCUCAUUGGGUCGAGUUUUGCUACGCAAAACCAGCUAAGUUGUAUUACCUAAAGUCAGUUCGAUCUUCAGCCAAAGGCGUGCAGCAUGGAGACCCCCUCGAUCCCCUUCUUUUUGCAUUAGCUCUUCAUCCUCUUAUCGAAAAGAUUGCAGCUCAGUGUACUUUGGAUCUUCAUGCGUGGUACCUGGAUGAUGGUACCAUGGUUGGAGACACUAUGGAAGUAUCUAAAGCCUUGAAGAUUAUACAAGAAGAAGGCCCUAGUUAUGGUUUGCACCUGAAUAUUUCAAAGACCGAAAAUUUCUGGCCUUCUUAUGACCCAAGAAGAGAUAACAGUGACGUUUUUCCUCCCAAUAUUGGUAAGCCAGUGGAUGGAGUUAAACUGCUUGGCGGACCAGUCAGCUUGAGCAUGGAAUUUUGCAGCAACAUGGUAUUGUCGAGGGUAGACAAAGCAGUGCAAUUAAUGGGAAACAUUCAAGAACUGGAGGAUCCUCAAAGUGAGUUACUCCUUUUGCGUAACUGUACUGGGGUUGCCAGGAUGUAUUUUACCCUCCGUACUACAAGUCCUAAAGCUAUUCAGUCGGCUGCAGUUAUGUUUGAUAAACAUCUCAUGGAUUAUUUGCGUCGUUUGGUGGUUGGUGAUGGUGCUGGAUUUGGAUUGGUCCAACAAAGGCUGGCCACGCUUCCCAUUAAAGACGGUGGUUUGGGUGUGCUUACAAUGGCCGAUACAGAUCCCUGUCUUAGUUAUCAACACGCUCUAUAGGUUUUCACUGAAGUUUGUGAUCUUUCCUCUCCGGGUUUCAACAUCAGUAAUACUGCCCCCCGUUACAUGAAGUCUCUGGCAUUUAUUAAUUUUGAAGUUGUCAAAAAGAAGAUACCUUCUAGUCUCCCCUUAACAGCGCGUGAUUACACAUUACGGCGGUGCAACCGAGUAGAACAUGCUAUGGACUUUCUUAAAGCCAUUCCUAUAGCUGGGCUUAACCAAACUGUUGGUCCUAGAAAAUUCAGUUCUGUCUUGCAGUAUCAUCUAGGGAUACCUUUCUUCGAGGAGAAAAGCUUAUGCUCUUGCUGGAAAAGACCCAUGGAUGUCUGCGACGACCAUGCUAUUCACUGCGCCAGUGAGGUUGGGCAGAAAUUUUGCCAUGACUUGGUGAAAGAUGUCUUUGCUGACAUAUGUUAUAAAGGAGGUGUCGCUGCUAGGAAAGAAGUUUCUUUGGGUUUCUAGAAGGACGGUAAUGAUCUCAAGCCUGCGGAUAUUAUGGUUUACAAUUGGGACGGUAAGGAUGUAUGCAUGGAUGUUACGGGUGUCUCGCCUUUUACAAGUGCCCAGACUUGUAACUUUGUUCCUGGCCAUGCCAUUGGUGCUGCUAUUAGUCGCAAAAACAAGAAAUACUUGGACAUAUGCUCUUCACGUGGCUAUGGGUUUGGUGUGCUGGCUUUUUCCACCUUAGGUGAGCUCGGAGCGGAUACAAUUUCCUUUCUCAAAAGGCUGAGGAAUUGCGUGGCUAGACAUGAUGCCAAUUUCAAGCUAGGCAAUUCUCUUUUCCUUAGGCUAGGGAUUGUUAUUCAAAAAAGUAUUGGCGCCCAGCUUGUUGCUAGGAUACCCACCAACUCUUUGUAAAUUUCCCUUGUAUGCUUUGACGUAAUGGGAGUCUCGCCAUUCACCACUGCUAGAACCCGUAAUUUUACCCCGGGCCAUGCAAUCAAUGCCGUUGUGAGCCGCAAAUGUAACAAAUAUUUAGAUACAUGUGCUGUUAUGGGCUAUGGGUUCAAAUCUCUAGACUUUUCUACCCUAGAAGAGUUGGGAGAAGACUUGGUUUUUCUUCUCAAGAGAUUAAGAAACUGCCUAGUUAGCAAUGACGCUAAUUUUAAAUUUGGUAAUUCUUUAUUUCAUAGACUAGG